AGAAAGGAUCCGUAAGAGAUGGGAAAAGACAUUAAGCUAUUGUAAAUAUCUGUCCUUUGAGAGAGAAAGAAGGGGAGAGAGUUGAACAGGCAGUCUCAGACUGCAGAGCAUGUCUAACAAAGUUUCAGGCAGGCCAAAUGAGAGUCUUGAGGCUCAUCUGUCAAGGGUAUCCCCUGUCUCACAGGAACGGACCUGCCUUAGUAUUCCUGCCGUGUUCAGUCCUUGGAGGAGAGAAGCCCAUGGGUAGCAUGACUUAGCAUGAAUGGUGCAGUGGUGAACUCAGUGGAUAGCAGCUGGGGCCAUCCAACAACUAUGCUUCCCCAAGCAGGAGACCUGGGUGGCACAUUUUCAUGGAUACCAAGUACAUGCCUUAUGCUGCACAGAUCUACUUCACACAGCUUUGGAGAACAGCUUCUCCGUGGUUCCUACGGACUUCUCUUUCUGAGGAGAAACUUAGAAAAGUAAGAUUGAACGUUUGUGCUCCCCACCCCCAAAUCCAUAUGUUGAAACACUAAUCUUCAAUGGAUGGCAUUUGGAGAUGAGGCCUUCAGGAGGUAAUCAGAUCAUAAAGGAUGCCUACCACAGCAUGGCUUGAUAAGCGGUGCCAUUUCCGCACCCGGGAUCCGAACCGGCGAACCCCGAACCGCUGAAGCGGAACGUGUGCACUUAACUGUUGCACCACCGGGCCGACCCCGCCCCCAGUACAUAGCUGUGUAUUGUUUAGUUGUGGGUCCUUCUAGUUGUGGCAUGUGGGACGCCACCUCAGCGUGGUUUGAUGAGCAGUGUCAUUUCCGCGCCCAGGAUUCGAACCGGCAAAACCCCGGCCUGCCGAAGCAGAGCGUGUGAAGUUAACAGCUCAGCCACGGGGCCAGCCUCCUAAGAAGCAUGGCGAGGACCCACGAAAUUAUUUCAUGAAGCACUUAAGUCAGGGGAACUGAGAAGAUCUUCGGCAAAUAACUGUGUCUGUAUGUCUGCUGCUGGUGUACCAGGCUGGGGCAAUGGAAAGGAAUCAACCAGUAUUCUUCCUGCUCAGAAGCCAGGAGAGGAGCACUGUGAUGCACAGUGUUUACAAACAACCCGGUCAAUGGUUGGCAAAUUCAAAGACAGUUUAUGGUAGGUAAGCACAAGGUUGAGCAAAGAGGGUCUCAGCAUUUAAAGUUUAAGUUGCAAAGAAAACGACUCCUCCUUUCAAAGGAAUGUUUUGCUGAAAUGCUUAAAAUUUAUUUAUUAGAAGUAAAAAGAUGGCCCAACAGACUUUUACAGAAUCCCCGAAGUGGUGUUCUGGGAGGUUUGUCCUUCCUCGGUCUGCUCUGGAGUCCCAGCAGCCUGGUAGGGGAGGGUGUGGUCAACCUGCUGAGGGCAGGGUCUGUGUUCCUCUGGUUUGUCACCGUAUCCUCCAGAUGUGGC
rnacentral:lncRNA from 1 species